AAUGAUCGAAAGAUUGACGCAGCGACGCCGCGUGGACGAUGAAGGUUUUCGGAUCGUAAAGUCCUUUCAGCAAGGAAGAAUGGAUAUGUAAGUAACUGUGCAUAUAUUGACGGUACUUGCAGAAGCAGCCCCGGCUAACUCCGUGCCAGCAGCCGCGGUAACACGUAAGGGGCGAGCGUUGUUCGGAAUUAUUGGGCGUAAAGGGCGCGUAGGCGGUCUUGUAAGCCCGGCGUGAAAACCUGGAGCUCAACUCCGGGCCUGCGCUGGGAACUGCGGGACUAGAGUCAUGGAAGGGAAGUUGGAAUUCCAGGUGUAGGGGUGAAAUCUGUAGAUAUCUGGAAGAACACCGGUGGCGAAGGCGAACUUCUGGCCAAUGACUGACGCUGAGGCGCGAAAGUGCGGGGAACAAA
rnacentral:rRNA from 1 species